rnacentral:rRNA from 1 species
GACAGAGGUGCCGAGCGUUAGGCGGAAUCACUGGGCUUAAAGCGUGUGUAGGCGGAAUGGUAAGUACCUUGUGAAAUCCCACGGCUCAGCCGUGGAACUGCUUGGUAUACUGCUUUUCUUGAGCCACUUAGGGGCAACCGGAACAAACGGUGGAGCGGUGAAAUGCGUAGAUAUCGUUUGGAACGCCAAUGGUGAAAACAGGUUGCUGGGAGUGUGCUGACGCUGAGACACGAAAGCCAGGGGAGCAAACGGG